GUUUCUGUGGCGCAAUCGGUUAGCGUGUUCGGCUGUUAACUGAAAGCUUGGUGGUUAAAUCCCAGCCAGGGACG
rfam:Danio rerio chromosome 4, GRCz11 reference primary assembly.